rnacentral:rRNA from 1 species
AGUGAACGCUGGCGGUAGGCCUAACACAUGCAAGUCGAACGGCAGCACAGUAAGAGCUUGCUCUUACGGGUGGCGAGUGGCGGACGGGUGAGGAAUACAUCGGAAUCUACUUUUUCGUGGGGGAUAACGUAGGGAAACUUACGCUAAUACCGCAUACGACCUACGGGUGAAAGCAGGGGAUCUUCGGACCUUGCGCGAUUGAAUGAGCCGAUGUCGGAUUCGCUAGUUGGCGGGGUAAAGGCCCACCAAGGCGACGAUCCGUAGCUGGUCUGAGAGGAUGAUCAGCCACACUGGAACUGAGACACGGUCCAGACUCCUACGGGAGGCAGCAGUGGGGAAUAUUGGACAAUGGGCGAAAGCCUGAUCCAGCCAUACCGCGUGGGUGAAGAAGGCCUUCGGGUUGUAAAGCCCUUUUGUUGGGAAAGAAAAGCAGCAGGUUAAUACCCCGCUGUUCUGACGGUACCCAAAGAAUAAGCACCGGCUAACUUCGUG